GAAAUGCGAUAAGUAGUGUGAAUUGCAGAAUUCAGUGAAUCAUCGAAUCUUUGAACGCACAUUGCGCCCCUUGGUAUUCCAUGGGGCAUGCCUGUUCGAUCGUCAUUUGUACCCUCAAGCUCUGCUUGGUGUUGGGUGUUUGUCCCCGUCUCCGCGCGUGGACUCGCCCCAAAGUGAUUGGCAGCCGGCGUACUGGUCCCGGAGCGCAGCACAUGUCGCGCAAACGAGUGCCUUGGUACGGCGGCGUCCAUAAGCCCCUCUCUCACGCUCUUGACCUCGGAUCAGGUAGGGAUACCCGCUGAACUUAAGC
rnacentral:misc_RNA from 1 species